rnacentral:lncRNA from 10 species
UCAGAAACUGGUUUAACCCUAACCCUCACCCUAAUCAGCAGUCAUAGUAGCCAAUUCACAAUGCACUAUUUCAAUAUGUUGUAUAGGAAAUUAAUCUCCAGGCAAACUAUUGCGCUACCAGGCAAACUAUUCUGGAGGUAAUACAAUAGAAAGAUCUAGUUAAGAUACUUGAAUCAUACAGAUUGUUGAAUAAAUUUUAAACACACAAUGAGAAGCAAGAGGAAAGAGAUGGGGUAGGUUAACACAUAUACCACAGAAGCAGGUGGGAAGUCCCCUUCCUGAAUCCUGGGCCAUUUAAUAUGCAAUGUUCACAUAUUGCCUCCCACCCAUAUCCCUCCCACCCAUAUUAACUUUCUUUCUUAAUGAUGUGGUUACAAGGACCAUAAUUGAGGAUGAGUGAAGGGACCCAACAGAAAGAAGGUGCCCGAGGCAACGAUACACGCUUUUGCUAUUGGAGAGCCAGGGGCAAGUUCUCCUGGCCACAGCAGGAGCAUCCAUUAGCCUCCUGAACAGCUCUCUCUGUUUAUCUGUGCUUCUUGGGCAGAACACAACUGGGACCAUAAUGGGUGUCACCGAUGGAUGAGUGGCUGAUUUUGGGAAUCAGAUAGCUGUCAGCCCUGAUGUAGCAUGAAUGUAUCUUACAACUUGGUCUUUUAAUGUCUCUCUAUUGGUCCAUAGCACUCUGGUUUGUUCUAUUAUAUGUUCCACUUAUUGUAUCUGUCUUCAACAUCUCCCACAGGUUAUUGAUUUACUCAUUAUCCAUGUGAAUUCUGUGAGUUCUUCCUGAGUCUCACAGCUCCAUCUUAUUCAUCCCCUCUUCUACUUAA